UACGGAGGGUGCAAGCGUUGUUCGGAUUUACUGGGCGUAAAGCGCGCGCAGGUGGAUGAACAAGUCGGAAGUGAAAAUCUCGAGGCUCAACCUCGAGGCUGCUCCCGAAACUGUUCGUCUAGGGACUGGUAGAGGCUGGUAGAAUUCCCGGUGUAGCGGUGGAAUGCGUAGAGAUCGGGAAGAAUACCUGUGGCGAAGGCGGCCAGCUGGGCCAGAUCCGACACUGAGGCGCGAAAGCGUGGGGAGCAAACAGG
rnacentral:rRNA from 1 species